CCUCUCUCGCAUCAGUUAAAUUCAAAAGCGUUUAAUUGGUACUACAUUUGAGAAGUGAUGUUACAAAGCUUUUCACAUUUUCCACAGGUGAGAAGUGAACAAAUUCACAUGAAUAUGACCCGGAGUGAGAAACUAGAUCAGGUCCCGGUUUCCCAAAAGCAUCUUAAGGCCACAUUCAUUGAACUUAGCCUUAAAGCUGCAAUCAGCAGUAGACACAAUAAAAAGUGGCCUCCUCACCGCUGGUUCAGGUAAAAAGCUGAGGGAUCAAAUCAAAUCGAAGGGAUGGGGCUGGAGAACUAUAAGGACUGAUCAUACAUGAUAUCAAAAUUAGAGUUUUAACAACAUUUUGAGGGUAUAUAGUGUUUGUUUAAAUGUCCAUUGUUUACAAAUACUGGUGUAAAACAAGCUUAUAUUUUGGUUCUGAUGGGGUAUGACAGUUAAUCUAAGCUCAUGAGGCAUGUAUGAAUUAUAUUAUUCAAGAAUUAAUGGGUACAUAUCAACUUCUAAGUCCAAAAAUGGAUGCAGCAACUGCUGAUUGCCCUAACCUUUGAUGCUUGCAGAUCUGAAACGGUCUGGAUAGGCAUAACCAGUGUAGUAGUGGUGGAGUUCCACCAUAUUGCCUACUCCUUACGUAUCUGCAAACAUGCUAAGGUUAGAUCCACGUACUGGUUAGUACCAAGGGCGUAGGGGUAGGGAGCAUAUUGGGACCAACUGCAAGACAAGAGUUGGGCAAACUGAGAGGAGUAAAUUAAUGACCAGACAAAUACCAUAUACCAAGUACCUGUGCUACUUGUCAGGUGUCAGUGCUGUUAUCCAAUCAACAGACAACAGAAUGAUCAGGUGCCAAUGCUGUUACCUAAUAAAAAAAGACAACAGAACAGUGAGUGCUUUUACUUAAUCAACAGAACUGUCAGGUGUGUGUUGUUCCCUAAUCAACAGAACUGUCAGGUGUGUGUUGUUCCCUAAUCAACAGAACUGUCAGGUGUGUGUUGUUCCCUAAUCAACAGAACUGUCAGGUGUCAGUGUUAUUCCCUAAUCAACAGAACUGUCAGGUGUCAGUUUUAUUCCCUAAUCAACAGAACUGUCAGGUGUCGGUACUGCACACAAAUGCAACCUGAGAACACUGCUUUAGUGAAGACACAUUAAGCAGCACAGGCCAGUGAUGUCCGAUUUUUGCUUAAUAAAUGCUAUUAGUGGUGCCAUAGUAAAAAUGUCAAUAUGUUUCAACAUUAGAUAACCUGCAGCAUAGUCUGGGCUGGCUAAUGCUAGAACAGAAUGGCAUCCAGGCUAUAGAUUGUUUCACAUCUAUAAAAAAAACCACAGUCUCGUCGGUAUGAAAUGCAUUGAGCACCUAUGAUACUCUCUCGCUCUCUCGUUAACAGGUCCACACUAUCUAAGGGAGAUUAGAAGUUCCCCCCAUUUCAGGUAAACAAAGCACAGGAUUCAAAAGAAAACAGCAACAGAAAUGCUUUUAAUGUAAUUGUGAUUUGAAUGACAGUAGCCCCGAGCGAGGCUAGUCGGUUUAACAGAAUGAGAGAGUAUAUUGCAUAGGUUGUUAAUACCG